CUGGAAAGAAGUCUGGCUCUUACCUUGAAGGCCAAGGACAGCCAAAUGCAAUAACAUAAUCAGAACUGGGUUUAAAAGAAUAAUUCUAGAACUAGAACGGAGACUGAGUUGGGUGGGGAAAGACUGAGAACAUGAACCAAGGGGGAAGACAGACAGCACGGGGUUUAGGGACAAGGUGACAGAACCCCAGAAGAGGAGGCCCGGUGGGAAGGGUGGGGUUGGGGGAGGGAUGAACAGAGAAGAGACUGGAGGGUUCGCUGGAGCAGAAGAUGAGAGCUCAGGGCAGCGGGUGAUGCUGCUGCCGAGAGCCAGGAACGGAGGAGGAGGGACGGGAGGUGGGGACAGGCCAUGGCUCCGGGAUGAAGCAAAGGGGUUCCCGGGUGUGCAGAUGCCUGGCCUUGACGAUCACACUGAGUAACAACCAAGGGGAGGGGAGCCUCCAGGGAACGGAGGGAGUAUGGGACAGAGGGAGGCAUUCUACGCCACAGAUGGAGGACGAUCCUUCCCGACUUUGCACCUGGAAGAUCACAGAGCCCAGGUGUGGGUGGAAUUUUUAAUCUAUGGCUCCUGGAGCUACCCAGGUGAGGUACCUCCCUGCACUGUCUCCAGUACAAGAGAUGGCUCUGGACACAAAACAUUCAGGCAACAAUAUCUGGGUACCUUCCUGAGCCUACAGAAACCAAAGAGAAAGAAAGCCUGGAAAUUAAAUGCACAAGAAAGAAAAGAAACUGUUUGA
rnacentral:lncRNA from 1 species